ACGGAAAUUUACAUAUUCAUACGUUUUGUCUGUAUCGUGAAGUUUGGAGUCGUUUUUGUUGAAACGAUUCCACGCAUUUUCGAGUGCCAAUAUUUUAGCUUGAAAUUAAGAGGCCUU
rnacentral:pre_miRNA from 1 species